GAUGAACGCUGGCGGCGUGCCUAAUACAUGCAAGUCGAGCGAACGGACGAGAAGCUUGCUUCUCUGAUGUUAGCGGCGGACGGGUGAGUAACACGUGGAUAACCUACCUAUAAGACUGGGAUAACUUCGGGAAACCGUAGCUAAUACCGGAUAAUAUUUUGAACCGCAUGGUUCAAAAGUGAAAGACGGUCUUGCUGUCACUUAUAGAUGGAUCCGCGCUGCAUCAGCUAGUUGGUAAGGUAACGGCUUACCAAGGCAACGAUGCAUAGCCGACCUGAGAGGGUGAAGGGCCACACUGGAACUGAGACACGGUCCAGACUCCUACGGGAGGCAGCAGUAGGGAAGCUUCCGCAAUGGGCGAAAGCCUGACGGAGCAACGCCGCGUGAGUGAUGAAGGUCUUCGGAUCGUAAAACUCUGUUAUUAGGGAAGAACAUAUGUGUAAGUAACUGUGCACAUCUUGACGGUACCUAAUCAGAAAGCCACGGCUAACUACGUG
rnacentral:rRNA from 1 species